UGUGCUUUCUCUCUCUCUCUCUCUCUCUCUCUCUCUCUCUGUCUCUCAAAAUAAAUAAACUUAAAAAAAACAAAGUUAACCUGUAUCUGGCUUGCAGGAGGGCAAUUCUUGGAAGGAGAGAGCAAAGAUGUAGGGGGACUGAUGUCCUAGCCAGCCGACACCUUCACGGUGGCCCUAUGAAGACAUAGAAAGUUCUGGUAGGCUUAUGGAAGAGUCCGAGACUUAUCCAGGGUAAAGGGGCAAAGGAGAGGCCCAUGUCUCAGAAGGAAAGGUGGAAAGGUGGUGAGGAAGUGAAGCUGGAGGGCUGGUCACAGGAGCCUCAGCUGAGUCAGAGCUGGGAUCCUGAUGAAGCUAAGGUAUAAAUAUUGUGAGAGGCCUGUCAUCUACCACUCAGCCUGCCCCCAAAGUGCUUAUACAUAUGACUCCUCGACGACAGUGGAACACUUUCGUCGUUCAUUCACUCACGCGUUCAGCAACUAAUAAGUUCUCACCAUGUGCCGGCCAUGGUGCUGUGCCUCUCAGCCUGCAGGCAUCAGGAAGACGUGGUCUGCCCUCUCAAGGAUGAAGGGGUCUACUAGAGAUACAAAACAAAUGCUACGUGACUGCAGAGGUGGAAACAGUGAACUGUGCCUGGAGGAAUAAGAGAAAGCUUCAUGGAGGAGACCGGCCUUAAAAGACUCUUUGAGCCACGAAGAGCCAUAAAGGAGCAGGCUGAGGACGGAAGACAGCGAAGCUUUCUUAUGCCGCGUGAUCCAAGCCAAUGGCUCAAACGUUUUACAUCAUUACUCCUAUGUGCCUGCCUCUGGGACACAUUCUGUUGAUUUACUAGCUUCCUGGAAGAAAAGGUACCAUUUACCUGAAGGUAACCUCGCUGAAAAAGAGCUUCGAGUCUACAAAACUCUGUGGUUCUUGACCUCUUGCUGCGGCAGCAAAACAAAACAAAAACAAAGAAGCGAAACCAGUUUCCUGGAAA